CAGCCAUUAUAACUGAUUUUCCGUUCUUUCUUCUUUUCUUUUCGUGUCAAAUACCUAAUCUUUAUUCACGUGUUUUGCCAUCACCUCUAGUUAUCUGCUUAGGACUCUGAAGUGAACCGAUCACCUCUACCAAAUACUCAACCCAUUUACUACCCGUUAAAAACGAGUACCUUUUACAGAUGAUUUAACCCUCUCUUCUGCUCCAAAGAAAAAUCAAGGAAGGUUUCUAAAAUGGGAAGUAGAGGUUCUUCAUUUCAAGCCGACGCCGAUCGUCGAUACAAUUACCAUGCUUACCAGCUUUUACCAUUAUUGCUAAUAAAUGGGAGGUGGUAAAGUUUCCACUCAGGUUGAAUCCAGCAGAAAUCAAACUACUUCAAGGUGCUUCAAGCUUCUUCUUUAAUGCAGAGGCUCUUCCAAUUUCUAUUCCUGUUCAAUUCGGGUAACAAUAGUGCAUUAUUUUCACCAUAAUUAUUUCACGUCCAUCCCAGUUGGAUUCCCUUGCAUAUGCCCUAUUGUGAAUAAAAUCAUCGGAAAUCCGGAUGAAGAGGAAGUGAGAGAUGAAGUCUUGAAUCAAAUUCUCAAUACCUAUGAAUACAUGCCAAAGUUGAGCGGGGAAAGUGUAGUGCUUAUGUUCAUAAGCUGUGCAAAGCUGGAAAUCUUUCUAUGGCUAUUAGAUAACUGCAAUCUUUGUGAGAUCAAAUAUCUUUAUCCCCAAUGCAUAUGAUACCCUUUUGGCUGCAGCUGCUGAAACGAAUGAGAUUGACCUUUUGUUUCAGAUAGUCAAAGAUGUAUUGGUGUUUCGUGGACCCUUGAGCUCAGCAUGUUAUCUUUACUUUGCAAGGUCUUUUGCUAAUACUAAUGACCAUACAACAUUGAUUAGAUAUGUCAAACAAGUACCAUUGUUAGCUUUCACGAGCAGCACGAUAGUUAUAAACCAGAUCAUCUUUGCUUUCGCUGAAUGUAGGAAGAUAAAAAAGGCUGUUUUGAUAUUUAAUUAGAUUAAUAGUUUCAGAUUCAAGCCUAAAGUGAUAACAUAUAAUACUAUUUUGAAUAUCUUAGGUCAUGCUAGUCAGGUGGGUGAAAUGGUCCAUGAGUUUGGCUCCAUGAAGGAAGCUGACCUUGUUCCAGAAUUCAUUACUUAUGAUACAUUACCAAACAAUUUAAGGAAGGUUGGGAGGUUGGAUAUUGGUUAGUGUUUUUCAAAGAAAUGAGUGAUAGUGGAGUUGAGCUAGAUUUGCUUACUUAUAGAGCAAUGUUGAGACUUUUGGCCGAUCAGGGAACACUGAGGAAGCAUUAAGUCUCUUUAAUGAGAUGAAGCAGAGGAAGAUCCGUCCAUCAAUCUACAUAUAUCGGUCCCUAAUUGACAUUUGGAAGGUAGGGAAGGUGGAUUUAGGAAGUCUUUUCAGAGGAGAUGAAUUCAUUUCUUUAAGACUUAGCUGGUCUAGAGGAUUUUAAUCGAAAACGUUGGUAGUUCCAUAAUUGGUUCGGGAAUUGAAGUUUCGAAGAAUAUUUUAAUGUCAUCUUGAGUACUUCAAUUUGGCUCUAAUCAGAAUAGGGAUGUGUUAUGGAUGUUCCUUCAUGCAUUGCUACUGAUAUUGCUUUGUGUAUUAUGUUAUCCACCUUUUCUUUUUGUACCUUUGUUUAAUGAUAUGUGGUUACUGUAAAUAUUUGAUUAUGGUUAGUAAUAUUUUAUUCUUUUAAAUUUUUUG